CCUACGGGAGGCAGCAGUGAGGAAUAUUGGUCAAUGGACGAGAGUCUGAACCAGCCAAGUAGCGUGAAGGAUGACUGCCCUAUGGGUUGUAAACUUCUUUUAUAUGGGAGUAAAGUGUUCCACGUGUGGGUUUUUGUAUGUACCAUAUGAGUAAGGAUCGGCUAACUCCGUGCCAGCAGCCGCGGUAAUACGGAGGAGCCGAGAGUUAUCCGGAUUUAUUGGGUUAAAGGGAUGGGCAGGGGGAAGAUCAAGUCAGUGGGAAAAUUAAGAGGCUCACCCUCUUCGAGCCUUUGAAACUGGUGUGCUUGAGUCAGUGAGAGGUAUGCGGAAUGCGUGGUGUAGCGGUGAAAUGCAUAGAUAUCACGCAGAACUCCGAUUGCGAAGGCAGCAUACCGGCGCUAAACUGACGCUCAUGCACGAAAGUGUGGGUAUCGAACAGGAUUAGAUACCCGAGUAGUC
rnacentral:rRNA from 1 species